GACGAACGCUGGCGGCGUGCUUAACACAUGCAAGUCGAACGGAAAGGCCCUGCUUUUGUGGGGUGCUCGAGUGGCGAACGGGUGAGUAACACGUGAGUAACCUGCCCUUGACUUUGGGAUAACUUCAGGAAACUGGGGCUAAUACCGGAUAGGAGCUCCUGCUGCAUGGUGGGGGUUGGAAAGUUUCGGCGGUUGGGGAUGGACUCGCGGCUUAUCAGCUUGUUGGUGGGGUAGUGGCUUACCAAGGCUUUGACGGGUAGCCGGCCUGAGAGGGUGACCGGCCACAUUGGGACUGCGAUACGGCCCAGACUCCUACGGGAGGCAGCAGUGGGGAAUAUUGCGCAGUGGGCGGAAGCCUGAUGCAGCAACGCCGCGUGCGGGAUGACGGCCUUCGGGUUAUAAACCGCUUUCGCCUGUAACGAAGCGUGAGUGACGGUAAUGGGUAAAGAAGCACCGGCUAACUACGUG
rnacentral:rRNA from 1 species